GUUUGAACUGAAAAGGAAUUUGGGUUAGUUCAUGUUCACUGUAUUACAUUAAUCCAUUUCAGUUUGAACUCGGUUUGCUGGUCUAAAUAGAUGAGAAGAAAUUUCUUCAGCCAGUGAGUGGUGAGUCCUUGGAAUUCUUUACCAAAGGGGGGGAGGUGGGAUUGACAAGAGUCAAGAGAUAUUGGGGUGAACCCAGAAAAGUGGCACAGUGCUAAAAGAUCUACAGUGAAAUGAGUGAAAGGCAGAGCUGGCAAGGAGGCUGAACAGUCCAAUCCUGCUUCAGUUUUGUAUGUUCUUAAUUUAGUUUUGCAUCAGAAAAUGAGUAAACCAGAAAUGAUUACGUAUAUUAACAUUGUGCAGUGUGAUGAGGCACUUUUUCAAGCACGGAUGGAGUCUUGGUGGUCUUUCAGCCUAUUGUGCAUGUACUGACUCUUCUGAAAGCAAUAACAUCACUCCCACUCCAUUUCCUUUUAUUCUGUAGCUCAGUAAAUUUUCCCUUUUCAGGUGUUUAUCUAAUUUUCUUUUAAGAGCUGCUAUUGAAUGUAUUUGCAGUACCUUUUUAACACAGUGUGUUCUAGCUUCUUGAUUUUUAAAAAAUAUAUGCUCGGGUGACACUUUGCUUUCCGCAGUCUGGAGGCGACUUUGACUUACACAUAGUUAGGCACUGAGCAAGAUCCAGUAAAAAGAAGUCGGGUUUAAGCAGAGUGGCCAUACUGUAAGUGGGCCAGUGUUGGAGUGGGAAGUUGAGCUUUUGGCUCAUCGAAGCAUUGGCGAGGAAAGAUGUAGGCUACAGGUAGAUUUUUUUUGUCAUUAUUCUUUCUUUCUUUCUUAUUCCACAUUUGGAGCAGUGGGGAUGCCAGACAGGAUAGUUUAAUGCGCCUCUUGCAGGAUGUGGGAAGGUAGGGAGAUCUCUAGUGUCCCUGAAUGCAAGAAGUGCAUCCAGCUGUAGCGUCUAACAGACCACAUUAAGGAGUUGAAGCUGGAAUUGGAUGAACUCUGCUUCAUUUGGAAGGCUGAAGGAUUGAUAGACAGGACAUACAGGGAGGUAAUUACACCUAACAUGAAGAAGAUGGGUAACUGGGUGACUGACAGAAGUGAGGUGGGGAGUACAGAGUACAGGGUUUGCAUGGUCCUGUCAGCGUAAAAGGCAAGGGUAACAGGUUAGGAAUCCUUAGCUUUUGAGAUGUAUUGAGGCCCUGGUUAAGAAACAGGAGGUGCAUAAUAGGUAUUAGCAGGCAAGAAUAAAUGAGGUACUUCAGGAGUAUAAGAAAUAAGGUGCUUAAGAAGGAAAUGUGAAUUAAAAGACAUGAGGUUGCUCUAGCAGAUGAGGUGAAGGAAACUGCAAAUAUAAAAAGAAAUAAUAAAUCAAUAAUUAUUGAGAACAUGAAAGAUGAAGAGUCGUUGAAAGUGAGUUCAUAAGUUGUGGGAACACUUCCAUAAUGAAACAAGUGAAGUUGAAUGAAGUUAACCCCUUUCGUUGAAGAGCCUGAUGGUUGUUCCUGAACCUGGUGGUGUGAGCCCUGAGGAUCCUAUAGCUUCCAGGAUGGCAGCAGUGAUAAGAGAGCAUGACCUGGGUGGUGGGGGUCCCUGAUGGUGCUUUGUUGCGACAAUGCUCCACAUAGGUGUGCUCAACAGUGGGAAGAGCUUUACCCAUGAUGGAAUGGGCUGUAGCCACUACUUUUUGUAGGAUUUUCCAUCCAACGACAUUGGCAUUUCCAUACCAGGCCGUGAUGCAGCCAGUCAAUAUACUUUCCAUCGUACGUCUAUAGAAGUUUGUCAAAGUAUUAGAUGUCUGAAUCUUCACAAACUCCAAAGGAAGUAGAUGAUCCGGUCUUUAACCUGAUGUUUCUGGGAGUUUGCUGUGUGGCUGACUCAGGCAGUGCAUUCCAUGCACCAACCACUCUCUAUGAAAAACCUUCCUCUAAUAUCCCCCUUGAACUUCCCUCCCCCUACCUUAAAGCCAUGUCCUCUUGUACUGAGCAGUGGUGCCCUGGGGGAGAGGCGCUGACUGUCUACUCUGUCUAUUCCUCUUAAUAUCUUGUACACCUCUGUCAUGUCUCCUAUCAUCCUCCUUCUCUCCAAAGAGUAAAGCCCUAGCUCCCUUAAUCUCUGAUCAUAAUCCAUACUCUCUAAACCAGGCAGCAUCUUGGUAAAUCUCCUCUGUACCCUUUCCAAUGCUUCCAUAUCCUUCCUAUAGUGAGGCAACCAGAACUGGACACAGUAACCCAAGUGUGGCCUAACUAGAGUUUUAUAGAGCUGUGUCAUUACAUCGCGUCUCUUAAACUCUAUCCCUCGACAUAUGAAAGCUAACACCCCAUAAGCUUUCUUAACUACCCUAUCUACCUGGAAAGUAACUUUCAAGGAUCUGUGGACAUGUUCCCCCAGAUCCCUCUGCUCCUCCACACUACCAAGUAUCCUGCCAUUUACUUUGUACUCUGCCUUGGAGUAGAGGUCCCAGAACUGAUCCUUGUAGGGCACCACUAGUCACAACCCUAAAAUCUGAAUGUACUUCCUCCACCAUGACCCUCUGCCUUCUGCAGGCAAGCCAAUUCUGAAUCCACCUGGCCAAACUUCCCUGGAUCCCAUGCCUUCUGACCUUCUGAAUAAGCCUACCUUGUCAAAUACCUUACUAAAAUCCAUGUAGAUCACAUUCACUGCACUACCCUCAUCUAUAUGCCUGGUCACCUCAUGGUUACUUUCACUCUAAGCAAUAAAGCCAUGGCCUAACCAACCCUCUCCUUAUAUAACCCAACACCUUGAGUUCUGGCAAUAUCCAUGUAAAUCUUUUCUGCAUUCUUGUCAUCUUAAUGGUAUCUUUCUGAUAGUAGGUGACCAAAAUCGAACACGAUAUUCCCAAUUGGCCCUCGCUAAUGUCUUCUAUAACUGCAGUCUAACAUCCCUGCUUCUGUCAGUGCCCUGACUGAUGAAGGCCAGUGUGCCAAAUGCUUUCUUCACCACCCUGACUACAUGUGAUGCCACGUUCAGUAAACCAGGUGCUUGCACUCAUUGAAUCCUUUGUUUUGCAACACUACCCAGAGCCCUGCUGUUCAUAUUGGAAGUCCUACCCUGUUUGACCUCCAAUAUCUUGCACUAUUCUGAAUUAAUCUACAUUUUCCAUUCCUUGGCUCAUUUACCCAGCUGAUCAAGAUCCCGCUGUAAUUUUUGAUGCUCUUCGCUGUCUGUGAUAUUACCUAUUUCAGAUAUUUUGAUUUGGUGCCAGGUUUUCUAUAAAUGCAACCCUGUGGCGACCCAUUUCCUGGCACAUCUGAACCGACUCACAAUUAGAUAGCCUACGGGGGUUUGCGAGCACAGAGCUUUGGAGCCUCUGCGCCAUGGGGGGCAGGUUGAGGGAGGCUUAAAAGUGAGGCUGAAGAUUUCGAAUAAAGUUUUUUCCUUCGACUGCAGUUACCGACUCCGUGUCGUAAUUUUAGCGCUGCGUGUAGCACACCGCUACAAUUGGUGACCCCGACAGUCCAAACGAUUUUUGGACCAGAAAUGACCAACGCCGCCUCUGUUCAUGCAGUUUUGUUGAAACUGCCGGGUUUCUGGACACAGCGCCUGAACCUAUGGUUCCAGCAAGCCAAAGCCCAAUUCCACGUUCGCCAGAUCACCUCAGAAGACUCCCGCUACUACUACGUGGUGAGCUCCCUCGACCAGGACACAGCGGCCCAGGUCGCGGAGUCGUACAGUCGCCCCCGGCAGACGGCAAGUAUACAGAAUUCAAAGCCCUGCUCCUCAGGACUUUCGGACUCUCACGGCGCGAGCGGGCUGCCCGUUUACUGCACCUGGAUGGCUUGGGCGACAGACCUUCAUCAGCUUUAAUGAAUGAGAUGUUGUCUCUCGCCGACGAACACACACCCUGCCUCAUGUUUGAGCAGGCAUUCCUGGAGCAGCUGCCUGAGGACAUACGCCUGCUGCUGUCCGACGUGGAUUUCAGUGACCCCCGGAAGGUGGCAGCCCGGGCGGACUUGCUGUGGAACGCCAAAAAGGUGAGCGGGGCGUCCAUCGCACAGAUCUCCCAGCCACGCUCCCGGCAGCAAACCAGUCCAGGCCCGGCCGCAGAGCCCGCCAACCCCCGGCCCAAUGAACACUGGUGCUUCUACCACCAGCGGUGGGGCGCAGAAGCCCGCCGUUGUCGCCCGCCCUGCAAGUUCCCGGGAAACGCCAGGGCCAGCCGCCGCUGAUGGCUACGGCGGCUGGCCAUCGGGAUAGCCUCCUGUAUGUGUGGGAUAGAAGGUAGGGACGCCGGUUUUUGGUCGAUACUGGGGCUGAGAUCAGCGUUUUACCCCCGAUGAGUUACGACACCCGCAGCAGGGCACCGGGUCCCCCUCUGAGGGCCAUGAAUGACAGCACAGUAAGGACCUAUGGCACCCGUCAGGUGCAGCUACAGUUCGGCUCCAGCCAGUUCACGUGGGACUUCACACUGGCCGCCGUAGCCCAACCGCUUCUGGGUGCGGAUUUUUUGCGGGCUCACAGCCUACUGGUCGACCUGCCCAGGAAGAGACUGGUCCACGCCGAGACCUUUCAGACGUUCUCCCUGGGUGCAGCCCAGUUGCCAGCCCCUCACCUCGGCUCCAUCACACUGUCCGACAACGACUUCACCAGGGUCCUGGCGGAUUUCCCAUCGGUUCUGGCACCGCAGUUCACAGCGGCCAUGCCCAGGCACGGCGUACAGCACCACAUCCCGACCCAGGGACCACCCCUCCAUGCCUGCGCUCGGCGGCUUCCCCCGGACAAGCUCCGACUGGCGAAGGAGGAGUUCCAGAGGAUGGAGGAAUUGGGGAUCAUCCGGCGGUCCGACAGCCCAUGGGCCUCCCCCCUGCACAUGGUGCCCAAAGCGACGGGGGGCUGGAGACCGUGCGGCGACUACCGCAGGCUGAACGAGGCUACCACACCGGACCGCUACCCUGUGCCGCACAUUCAGGACUUUGCAGCAAACCUGCACGGCGCACGGAUCUUCUCCAAGGUAGACCUCGUCCGAGGGUACCAUCAAAUCCCGAUGCAUCCUGACGACGUCCACAAAACGGCUCUCAUCACCCCGUUUGGCCUUUUCGAGUUCCUCCGCAUGCCGUUCGGCCUGAAGAAUGCCGCACAGACGUUCCAGCGGUUAAUGGACGCGGUGGGAUGGGACCUGGACUUCGCGUUCAUCUAUUUGGAUGACAUCCUCAUAGCCAGCAGCAGUCAUCAGGAGCAUCUGUCCCACCUCUGUCAACUCUGCGCCCGACUGAGUGAGUAUGGUCUUACAAUCAACCCCGCCAAAUGCCAGUUCGGACUCGAUACCAUUGACUUCCUGGGCCACAGGAUUACUAAAGACGGGGCAACCCCUCUGCCCGCUAAGGUAGAUGCGGUCCGCCUCUUUCCCCGAUCCACCACGAUCAAAGGCCUUCAGGAAUUUGUAGGUAUGGUCAAUUUCUACCGCCGCUUCCUCCCUUCAGCUGCCCGGAUCAUGCGCCCCCUGUUCGCCCUGAUGUCGGGUCCGAGCAAGGACAUUACCUGGGACGAGGAGUCCGCCGCCGCUUUCGUUCAAACGAAGGAAGCUUUGGCGAACACCGCGAUGCUAGUACAUCCCAGAAUGGACGCCCCUACCGCCCUCACAGUGGACGCAUCAAACACGGCAGUCGGUGGCGUGCUGGAGCAACUCAUCGCAGGUCGCUGGCAACCCCUGGCGUUUUUCCGCAAACACCUGCGACCACCAGAGCUCAAAUACAGUGCUUUCGACCGGGAACUGUUGGCGCUCUACCUGGCAAUCCGGCAUUUCAGGUACUUCCUAGAAGGUCGGCCCUUCACCGCGUUCACGGACCACAAACCGCUUACCUUUGCGUUUACGAAAGCGUCCGACCCCUGGUCGUCCCGCCAGCAACGCCACCUGUCCUACAUCUCUGAAUACAUGACGGAUGUCCGGCACGUCUCGGGUAAGGACAAUGUCGUGGCGGAUGCGCUCUCUCGCCCUACCAUUCAUGCCCUUUCCCAAGGGGUAGACUUUGAGGCACUGGCAGAGGCGCAGCAGGCGGAUGAGGAGAUUCCGAGUUACAGAACCGCAGUCUCCGGUUUGCAGCUCCAGGACCUCCCCGUGGGCCCGGGUGAGAGGACCCUACUCUGUGACGUCGCCACCGGCCAGCCCCGUCCCGUCGUCCCGACAGCCUGGAACGCCGCGUUUUCGACUCCAUUCAUAACUUGGUGCAUCCCUCCAUCCGGACAACUGUCCGGAUGGUUUCCAGCAGGUUCGUUUGGCACGGACUCCGCAAACAGGUCAGUGAAUGGGCCAAAACGUGUAUGCACUGCCAGACAGCCAAGGUGCAGCGGCACACCAAAGCCCCACCGCAGCAGUUCCAUCCCGCCCACCGGCGUUUCGACCACAUUCAUGUGGAUAUUGUGGGCCCCCUGCCAGUGUCGCGCGGAGCGCGGCACCUCCUGAAUAUUGUGGACCGGUUCACAAGAUGGCCAGAGGCGGUCCCGCUCACCGACACCACCUCCGAAUCUUGCACCCGAGCCCUGAUCGCCACCUGGAUAUCUCGCUUUGGUGUACCAGCCCACAUUACCUCCGACAGAGGGGCCCAGUUCACCUCCAGCCUGUGGUCAGCUAUGGCCAGCCUUUUGGGGACUCAGCUGCACCACACCACUGCCUACCACCCACAGUCGAACGGGCUAGUGGAGCGUUUCCACCGUCACCUGAAGUCGGCCCUCAUGGCCCGCCUGCGAGGAGCCAACUGGGCGGACGAGCUUCCCUGGGUCCUACUCGGCAUCCGCACAGCGCCCAAGGACGACCUGCACGCCUCGUCGGCCGAGUUGGUAUACGGCGCGCCCCUGGUCGUCCCCAGGGAGUUCCUACCAGCCCCAAGGGGGCAAGAGGAAGAUCCCGCAGCAGUCCUGGGCAGAUUACGCGAGAAGCUCGGUAACCUGGCCCCCAUACCCACUUCACAGCACGGGCGGCACCCGACCUGCGUACCCAAAGACCUACAGAACUGUAAGUUUGUGUUUGUACGAAGGGGCAGGCAUCGGCCACCGCUGCAGCGGCCAUACGAGGGGCCGUUUAUGGUGCUCCGGAACAACGGGUCCACGUUCGUGCUGGACGUUGGGGGGAAAGAGGAGGUUUUCACAGUGGACCGCCUCAAACCGGUCCAUGUGGACCUGGCGCAACCGGCCGAGUUUCCGGCACCUCGGCGCAGAGGGCGACCUCCCAAGCAGGUUCUGGCCCAGACUGUGGACAUUGGGGGGUGUAUCGCCGGUUCUGGGGGGGGGUUAUGUGGCGACCCAUUUCCUGGCACAUCCGAACCGACUCACAAUUAGAUAGCCUACGGGGGUUUGCGAGCACAGAGCUUUGGAGCCUCUGCGCCAUGGGGGGCAGGUUGAGGGAGGCUUAAAAGUGAGGCUGAAGAUUUCGAAUAAAGUUUUUUCCUUCGACUGCAGUUACCGACUCCGUGUCGUAAUUUUAGCGCUGCGUGUAGCACACCGCUACAACCCCAUAUUUAAUGUAGCUGUAUUUCAACAAACCUUCAUUCCCUUAUUUUAAAAUAAAAUGAUUGAAUUUAAAAACUACAUAUAGAAAUGGUUUUCAACCAGCAGUAAGUUGAGAAACUCUGAAGAUUUUGUUUUUAAAUCUACUUAUCAGUCUGUAUCUGUAGUUUGACAUUUUAAGGAAGUUAACCUUUGUACUUUGUAGCUUAUCUUAGGAUGAGUACACCAUUUUAUAAUUGAUAUUUUAUGCUGUGAUCUUUCAUGCUGCCAGUCCUUGUAAUUUUCUUUGUGCUUGGAUGUUUGUUUUAGCUGCUGUAUCAGAUGCUUGCCAUAGCUGUCUCUCUGUUAGUAAUCAUUUGAAUUAUUUUAGAAUGCCUUGACUAUUGGUUAGGUACAGUAGAGCAGAGACGUUAAUGGCCAAUGCUGCAAGAGUAUUUCAGUGUGUUUUAAAGCAUGCUCACUGAUGUAACUGCAUCAUAAGUGUACACACUGUGAAGGCUGGAAAUUUAUAAUAUAAAUUACUCAGAAUGCUUCUCAGUUCAGGAGUGAUCUGCAGACAGGACAACAGUAUUGGUGCUCUGGGUCUCUGACUGGCAGGGCUAUAAUUGUAUGUGCUGUCAAACUGCAAUUGCACUUUUAAAUUGUUUAAAAUUUUGAAUUUUUAGGAUGAACAUUUUUAAUAAGAGCUCUGAGCACCAGUGAUCAGAGGUAGUAAUGUAACAUCAGUCUGAUUUUGGGUGACCUUUCUGUCCAUAACUUACCAUCUCAAAGCGUGUAUUAAGUUUGUAAAUGCCUCAUAGGAGCACAAGAAACAACAUAUGGCCCAUUUUAUCUUCUGUCCCAUUCACGAACUUUUUCCUUGGUGAUACUGUUCUGCAGUAUCCUUUAUGCCCCAAGAUCACCUUAAUAUCCAAACAUCUGUCAGUUGCUUAGUGACCAAGUGCCCAUAACCUUCUGGAAAAUUCCAAUGAUUCAAAACUCUCAAAGUAAACACAUUCUCCCUACUUCUGUCCUGAAUAGCCAACUCCUUACUUUGCGAAGUUGAUUCCUUUUUUUUAAGGCAACUCAGCCAGAAAAAUUUUGUUUCCUGAAUCUGCCCUGUCAAGCUCAAUGAGAUCACUUCUGAACUCAAACAGGUUGGGACCACUUUAGUGGCUACCGUGUGUCCUUCUAGAUCCUGAGAUUGCAAAAGAUGUGACAGGAAUGUGCUGAUUUUAAAACAAAUACCAAUGAAUUGGAAGACUCUGUCCUCCAGUUUAAAAGAAAAUGUAGUUUGGAAAGGAAAUUGUUAAAUGUUAGAAGCAUGCAAAAUCAUUUAGAGUCUCAUGGCAUGCCAGUGAGACCCACCCACAGCAGGUGAAUUGGUUUUUCCAACGCUGAAACUAUUUGCAUCAUUGUUUGCCUGCCACAUUCUAUGUUGCACGCCAGGAAGCAACUGCAGGUUCCUCUUCACUGGUGCGUAUGCUCGACAAAAACUGCUGGUGAAGAAAUGAUUAUAAAAUACAUUCAUGAAUUUAAAGAUUCAAAGCUGCCUUAAUUCAUUUUAUGCAGAAGAAUUGGAUUAUGUCUUGAAGAUAUGCAUCGAGUGAGCAAUCUGGCAUUGAGGCUUCUGAACACUGACAACCUGCAGGUGCUAAUCCUCUGUGUUGUAUCAAUGAAGAAGCUUGAUGCCACGAUAAGCUGCAGAUGACUUGUAGCCUCAUUGCCAAGGAAG